AGUGAACGCUGGCGGUAGGCCUAACACAUGCAAGUCGAACGGCAGCACAGUAAGAGCUUGCUCUUACGGGUGGCGAGUGGCGGACGGGUGAGGAAUACAUCGGAAUCUACUUUUUCGUGGGGGAUAACGUAGGGAAACUUACGCUAAUACCGCAUACGACCUACGGGUGAAAGCAGGGGAUCUUCGGACCUUGCGCGAUUGAAUGAGCCGAUGUCGGAUUAGCUAGUUGGCGGGGUAAAGGCCCACCAAGGCGACGAUCCGUAGCUGGUCUGAGAGGAUGAACAGCCACACUGGGACUGAGACACGGUCCAGACUCCUACGGGAGGCAGCAGUGGGGAAUAUUGGACAAUGGGCGCAAGCCUGAUCCGGCCAUACCGCGUGGGUGAAGAAGGCCUUCGGGUUGUAAAGCCCUUUUGUUGGGAAAGAAAAGCAGCAGGUUAAUACCCCGCUGUUCUGACGGUACCCAAAGAAUAAGCACCGGCUAACUUCGUG
rnacentral:rRNA from 1 species